UACGUAGGGACCGAGCGUUGUCCGGAUUCAUUGGGCGUAAAGAGCUCGUAGGCGGCUGUUCAAGUCGAACGUGAAAACUCGGGGCUCAACUCCGAGCCUGCGUUCGAUACUGGACGGCUAGAGUCUGGGUAGGGGGAUCUGGAAUUCCUGGUGUAGCGGUGAAAUGCGUAGAUAUCAGGAGGAACACCGGUGGUGUAGACGGCUUUCUGGACCGUAACUGACGCUGAGACACGAAAGCGUGGGUAGCAAACAGG
rnacentral:rRNA from 1 species